GUAAAAGUAAGCUACAAAUUAAGCUUUUAGACUCAUGAUCUAACGACAAGGGAUAAGAUUAACCCUUCUUUUACA
rnacentral:tRNA from 1 species